CAGGAGAUGCUUCAGACUCUUCCGGCGGUUUGAGAACUGUAUAAAAGGGCUCGGCAAUGCGGGUGUUUUAAUCACUUCUCAUCUUUCCUCUUUAGUAAGCCAGGUUCGCCUCCAGCACAGCAAGAUGUCUGACAGCCUGGACAUGACUGAAGACCUGUACUACCAGUACCCAACUUGUUGUUGGAGACCCCCCUGUAGAAGGCGAUGUUGGUGUUGUUGCUAUAAUCCAUGCACUGGACAGCUAAUUUGGCAGGGAUGGUGCUGGUGCCCAGGGUGGCGCAGUAGGGGCAGAUAUGGAAGGUGUUGGCCAUGCUAAAUCCAGCUCAAAUUUUCACAGCACUUGGACCACCGCGGACAUGGAAAGCAAGAUACAGAUUCAUGGCUGACCCAAAGGACAUGACUAAGCACUCAGCACCUCCAGUGUGAGGGCUCGGCAUUGCUACAAGAUUCCCUCCCCCAUUCACCUGUUUCCUACACUUUGCUUUGUUACUCUAGGAACUUUGCAUUCUCUGCACUGUUAAGCAUUAAGACUUCUUCAUGCUGUGCUGUCAUUUAAAAGGAUGCCUGUGCUUCCCUAGAGUCCACUUGCAAUCCAGUGCAGAACACGUGACACAGCCACAGUGCUGUCAAAGGUUUUUGGUGUGAACAGAAAAAAGAUGCUCUUUUAUCCUUUACUUCUAACAUGAAAGUUGGCUACACAGACUGCAUCAUUGAGAAGCUGCUCAUUCCCCUCUUUACCUUGUGCUUUGUCUCAUGUGACAUUAUUCCUGGAGAAAAGUAAUGAAUAAAUAGAUGGAAACAGCUUGAUAGGAAAAGUCUGCUGCUGCAAAGAAGGACACACACC